rnacentral:rRNA from 1 species
UUCGGGUGUGACUGCGUACCUUUUGUAUAAUGGGUCAGCGACUUAUAUUCUGUAGCAAGGUUAACCGUAUAGGGGAGCCGCAGGGAAACCGAGUCUUAACUGGGCGUUAAGUUGCAGGGUAUAGACCCGAAACCCGGUGAUCUAGCCAUGGGCAGGUUGAAGGUUGGGUAACACUAACUGGAGGACCGAACCGACUAAUGUUGAAAAAUUAGCGGAUGACUUGUGGCUGGGGGUGAAAGGCCAAUCAAACCGGGAGAUAGCUGGUUCUCCCCGAAAGCU